CGGGGAGGUUUGGCACCUCGAUGUCGGCUCAUCACAUCCUGGGGCUGUAGUAGGUCCCAAGGGUUGGGCUGUUCGCCCAUUAAAGUGGUACGCGAGCUGGGUUCAGAACGUCGUGAGACAGUUCGGUCCCUAUCCGUCGCAGGCGUAGGAAAUUUGAGAAGACCUGUCCUUAGUACGAGAGGACCGGGAUGGACGUACCUCUGGUGUACCAGUUGUCCUGCCAAGGGCAUGGCUGGGUAGCUAUGUACGGAAUGGAUAAGCGCUGAAAGCAUCUAAGCGCGAAGCCAACUUCAAGAUAAGAUUUCCCACCGCAAGGGUAAGACCCCAGAAAGACUAUCUGGUUGAUAGGUCGAAGGUGUAAGUGCAGCAAUGUAUUUAGCUUAUCGAUACUAAUAGGUCGAGGACUUGACCAAU
rnacentral:rRNA from 1 species